UGACACCGAUGUGGUAUUCGGGUGCAGAGACGCAGAGUGAGGGACAGCAUGAUCCGUGUUAACCCGAGGGCGCCUGCCCUCAGAGCCAUGUCGCAGAGGCUACAUAGAAGGUCAUACCGUGUUCCUGGACCAAACUCGUUAUGGCACCUUGAUGGAAACCACAAACUGAUAAGGAAAACCCUUACACAGCCGCCGUGUUUCUCCGUGCUUCCAGCAACAAUCGCAGCAGUACUGUAAUGGAUUGCUUCAUGAAUGCUGUCUCCAGAUAUGGCGUUCCCUCCAGAGUUGGGACGGACCAUGGAGGAGAAAACAACACUGUCUGCUUGUUGAAUACUACUUCUACAAACGAGGCUACACUUGUGGCAGCACCUAUUCCUGUGGCACCCCAUCUUCUGCACUUCUUGUGCCCCCCCUCCACCUAUACCACUUUCUGUGGCCCCUCCACCAAUUCCAGAGGCUUAUCGUCCACCUUCACCAUACUCUUCUGUUGGUGUUAGUGAUGACAAUGAGGAUGCUGAUGGAAAAGGGGCAGCUGAUGAGGGUGGUCCCUCGAGAAUUUCUCUGGCUGCUAUUGAGUGCCAUCCAUUCCUCUGCAAUAUUUGAGGGACCUGAUUGACAAAAAUGCCUUUCUUGCAACUCUCAAGCAACAUGGGGGUGUAGAGACAUUUUUUCAGAGAGGCUAUACAGGCAAGUGUGUGGCCUACAACCUCCUGUGCCAGAACUGAAAGAAAUUGCAGAAUAUGACUUCAGACAGAAGUUGGAGAAGGCACAGGAAGUGGUCAGACGAGGCACAGGAAGUGGCCAUGUUGGGUCCAGUGCGAUACAUUCGUACAUUGGAGAGGGAUGCCCUGGUGGAGUCAGCCACAAAGUCCUGCUUAGAAAGCAGGAUACGUGGGACAGCAUUUUGUAGCCUUAUUCUUCCAUGGGCCCCCUAAGAAUGUAAUAGAUAAAUGAAAUCCCAAACUACUUUCACUUAAGAGUAUUGUGUUCUCCAACAAGUGUUACUUAUGGACUUUAAUGUUGCAGCAAGUUUGAGGGUAGUGGAGAAAAGGAUAUCAAGGUGCCCAGGAACUUGACGCUGCUGAUCAUCUCCAUGUCAAUGUACAAAAGAUGGGAGAAUGGUCAAGUAUCACCAUCUACUUUGUCAGGUCCCACAGCUCCUUCAUGUACUCAUGUGUACCGUGGUAGUGUCGGGUCCAUUCUGGGGAAACACAUUCUUAUAACUGUAAAAAAAAUCUCAUUUGUUAUUGCAGGAUUUACACACAGAGCCUGCUAACCAGCGUGUGGGUAAGGAUGGUGUUGAAAGCAGAGCUAUAAAAGACCAUGCACUCUGACAUAUUUAAAAAUGUAUAAUAGACAUUUGUUGGGACAAUAGGCAAACUGGGGUUGUGCAUAGUGUAGCACAAUCUAUUGUUCAAGUUUUAAAAAAAAAUAUCGACUGGGCUGCAGUAAGAAGCUUCGAUAUCAUAACUUCUUACAUUCUUUCCUGGUACACCCACUGACACGGGUGUAUAUUUAGCAGCUGUAGGCGUUAACUUGACGUGCAGGACCGCUUGCAGCCGUUCAUUUGACACAUGUUGAACUGCCUGCAAGCACAUUUGCACCUCUUUGACGCGGGUAGGCGUUAAUUUAGCGCAUGAAGACGUUAAUUUAGCAGCUGCACCUGUUGACUUUACACACGUAAGCAUUAAAAAGAUCGCGCUUUGACCACGUACUUUCAGACCCAAACGGCGUUCCAUAGUGCACCCAUGUGUGAGUAGAUUGAGAGAACCGGUUGGGGAUUGUUGAGCUGCUGCUGACAGCCAGGUGGAGAGCGAAGAGGAGCAGCUUGAACGAGACUAUCCGCGGAGGGAAAGCAGAGGAUAGCACCCAGGCCAGCCAGAGAGAGGGUUUUACUUUGGUAAACUUCGAAUAGGGAAGUGCAAAUAGCGAAAAGAAAAUUAUCCAAGUUGAGGAAGACCCGCGAUCUUUACACCAGCAAAACAAAAUAAUUUGCACCAGACAACAAGGAAACUGUUGCUUUGCUCCACCAUAAACAUAUAGUUUAAAAACUACUAGUCACAAACGACUUGACAUGCUACCAUCUAGGAUACAGGAUCUGCAUGCUGCGUGUGUGAAAUAACACAUGGAAUCAUGUAGUAACCAAAAAAAAAGUGUUAAACGCAUUAAAAUGGAUUUUAGAUUCUUCAAAGUGGCCACACUUUGCCUUGGUGACAGCUUUGCACACUCUUGGCAUUCUCU